AGAGAAUUGACUGAGUGGUUUAAGGUGAUAAGCUUGAAACUUAUUUUGGUGUAAAAAUCAACAUCCGUUCGAAUCGGAUAUUCUCUG
rnacentral:tRNA from 1 species